GAGUUUGAUCCUGGCUCAGGGUAAACGCUAGCGGUGUGCUUUAAGCAUGCAAGUAGAACGGCCCUGCUUCGGCAGGGUAGUUGCGAACGGCUGAGUAACACGUAAGAAUCUGCCCCAUGGUGGGGAAUACCCAUCCGAAAGGAUGGUUAAUACCGCAUAAGCUACAUUCAGUAACAUGAAUGUAGGAAAGCACGUAACUGUGCGCCAAGGGAGGAGCUUGCGGCCCAUCAGCUUGUUGGUAGGGUAAUGGCCUACCAAGGCUACGACGGGUAGGGGAUGUGAGAGCAUGUUCCCCCAGAAUGGGACUGAGACACGGCCCAUACACCUACGGGUGGCAGCAACUGGGAAUAGUGCGCAAUGGACGAAAGUCUGACGCCGCGACGCCGCGUGUGGGAUGAAGGCCUUGGUUGUAACCACUUUUGCCAGAAGGAGACCGACUGAGAACAAGCACCGCUAACUACGUGCCAGCCGCCGCAGUAAU
rnacentral:rRNA from 1 species